AAGGAGGCGAGCGCGGCGGGCAGCAGAUCCUUUGAUUUGUUGCAAAUCUGGACUCAGUUGGAUUCUUCUAUUGAUAGGGAUUUAAUCCCACACCUCCCAGGACCAUGAUUGGGUGGGGCAUUCCUAAUGCUGGUAACAUGAAAGCGUCACUGAAGUGGCAAAUACUGCUCUUGAAAAGAGGAGAAAACAUGACUUAUACAUUGAAUGAACCUUAAACUCCUGGGCCAAAAACUGAAUCUUUUUUUCAUGAAGGAUGGCAACACCAUACGUUCCUGUUCCUAUUCCUAUUGGAAGCUCCUCAUCCAGCUUUACAAACAGAAACCAAAGAAGUUCUUCUUUUGGGAGCAUCUCAACGAGUUCCAGUUCCUCAAAAGGACAGUUGGAGGACUCUACAAUUGGUAGUUUUAAAAAGAUGAGUGUGCCUGACCAGAUUGGUUCUACAUCAUCUGCGUGUAAUAGUCCACUUGUUAGGACUAAAUUUACAGGUAUGGACACAUCCAUAGAAUACUGUACGCAGCCUUCAGAAGAAAUAGAGCAGAAUACAGAUUCCAGGAGCUGGGAAGAUCGACCGUCCACGCCUACUAUACUGGGUUAUGAGGUGAUGGAGGAAAGGGCAAAAUUCACUGUAUACAAAAUACUGGUAAAAAGAAGUCCCGAUGAAAGUUGGGUGGUUUUCAGACGAUACACUGACUUCUCCAGGCUUAAUGACAAGCUAAAAGAUAUGUUUCCGGGCUUUCGAUUGGCCCUUCCACCAAAGCGAUGGUUCAAGGAUAAUUAUAAUCCUGACUUCUUGGAAGAUCGACAGCUGGGCCUACAAGCAUUCCUUCAGAACCUAGUAGCUCACAAAGAUAUUGCAAACUGCCUUGCAGUGAGAGAAUUUCUUUGUCUGGAUGAUCCUCCAGGUCCUUUUGACAGUCUAGAAGAGAGCAGGGCUUUCUGUGAAACUCUGGAGGAAACAAAUUACCGUCUACAAAAAGAACUGCUUGAGAAACAAAGGGAGGUUGAGUCGCUGAAGAAAUUGUUACAUGAAAAGCAACUUCAUAUAGAUGCUGUUGAAAGAAGAAUUAGGAAAAAUGACUCGUCAAAUGUCAGGAGAAGGAAGUGAGUGCAGUGGUGAAGUGGAGUCUUCUGCAGUAGAAGCAGACCAGGGUACCCUGGGUGAGGACAGCUGCUCAGAUAAAGAGAACCAUGAUGCAUGCUGGAGUGGCUCUUUGCCUGAAAAGUCUGUACCAGAAAUUGAAGUUGCUGAAGUAGCAUAUAAUGCUGAUGAAGAAGAAUAGAUCAGUAGCAAGCUGCUGGUACCUGGGAAAGCUUCAUGUUUGGAACAUACUGUUUGGGUAGGGCAUAGAGUAGCUGUGAGGAAUUUACAGCAAAGAGCAAGAAUGCACAUACUGAAUGUUUACAUAAAUCUUUACAAAUUAUUAACAUAAGAAAUAUACCCAUUGCUGCUUUGAUUUCAGUUUUUAUCUAGCCUUUUAUAUAUUUAAUAUAUUAAAGUCUAAUAAGGGCUAAAAUCAGCUGAAGUUUCGAUAGUGUACAUGCACAAUUUGGCUGACUUCCCUAGCAGGGUGACAAAAGCUUCACAUUGAAUCACCAACCAUCUAACUAGUAUGUCAUCUGUUGCCACUGAUGUGACACACUUGAUGUGUUCAUCUGUUCUAUAUUUGUGUUUUUGUAUUCUUAUAGCCAUAAGUUAGUGUUUGUUGAAGUAAAAACAGACUCAUCUUUUGUUUAAUAAGAGUGUAGAAUACGUUGGUUUUAAAUUCUGAAGUUGAAGGAUAUUUCUCUGGAAAUUUUAAUCCAAUACAAUAGGAACCCUGACAGUACCAAGAGAAGAGUACUUACGAAAUGGGUUUGUAGUUGGACAUCUUAAGAAGCCUGGUCAUUUUUGCUGAAGGAACUAAUACGAGACCCCCAAAACACUGUGUAUUUUCAUCCCAAGAGAGCAUGCUGUAAUACUUUUGUUUGGUAAUGCUGCUUUGAAAAUCUGGGAUACCUUUGCUAUAUAUAUACCCAUGUAACAAUAAAAUCUGUGAGUUUGCCUUUUACUUGGAACACUACCUCUUACCAUCUUGUUAAUGCAUUCAUGUUUGUUUAAAAAUAUUCCAGAUUAUAUGGAGGUUAUUGAAAGACUUGUAAAGAAGCCAUAUUAUUUUCCUGCACAAUUCAUAACUAGAUUGAAUCUAGUUGCAAUGUAUUUUUGUUUCAAUAUAUUGUACACAUGGGGAUAAUUCUACAUGUGUUCUAUAGCCUAUUUUUCAAAAUGUAUUAAGACAGGAGAUGCACUUUAUAAUUAAAACUCCAUUGUGCCAAGUUCAGUUGGCUAAUUGGUUGAGAAAGGGGAGUUGCAGGGAGAGGAUUAUGUAGUGCCUUUUUGUAUUUUACUUGUUCAUUACUGCAGAAUUUUGUUACAGUGCUCUGGGUCAGUUCUGUGGAACCUUUGAUACAGCUUGUUUCUGUUCCUCACUUAUUUACUGAAAGUGCCUUGUUUUAUUCUGCUUUUUCAAUAGGAAGAAUGCUGUUUUGUUUUAAUUUGGAUUUUUUUUCACCCUAUACCACCCACAUUGCUGUUUAAUGUUGUCAAUAUGCAGUGUCUUUGUGCUGGAGUUUUCAAAGGGAGCUUUGUACUUCAGGCUGUGCAUACAAUGACCUUUAUGCAGAACUGUAUAAACCUUCCUGGUGAAAUAAAGCUAUGGAAAAAACACCUGUCUUCUUUUUUCCAUUGUAGGAAAAAAUGUUCAAUGCCUUGUCUAGUAAAGGAUAAAAAUACUAUUAGAGACAUUUUUACCUCAGUGAUUUCUUACAGUUACUCUUUGGUCUAUGUUCUGUUUGUACCAAAAAUGUCUGCAUGGAAAAGAAUGCGAAUGCUGUAAUGACACCAGAAAACUUGCUGUACUUGAAGUUUAAAAAGGAACUGAUCUUUUUUUAAUAUUCUACAUGAAUCCUCACAGAUGUCAAGUGAACUCAAUAAAGUUUUCACACCUUA